GGGGGUGCAGCUCAGGGGCAGAGCAUGUGCUUAGCAUGCAGAAAGUCCUGAGUUUAAUCCUCAGUAUCACCA
rnacentral:tRNA from 1 species